UUUGACACAUUCCAUGUGGAUUUCAUGAUGUUUGAAUAAUGAUAUGUUUGUAGUAAACAUGCAUGAUUCACGGGGAGAGUCAACUGAGUCACUCAUGGCAGGAACAUUUGGUGAAGAGACAGAAACGAACAGAGACAGAGACAUUUGAACUAACAACAAUUUUAAAAUGAACUGGGUAAGAGUGGUAGGCCAAUUAUUGGCUACUCUCGGAGUACUACGUGGCAUUGUCGGGUGGUAAUCCUCAUAAAAGAUCGUCACCGCACAAUGUGUGGGUCACACUCCUCGUCUCCUAAUCGCCCAACAAAAGUGAAUGAUAAUGUGCCUGCCGCAAAAUUUGUUCGCUACGUAAACGUUGGGAGUACCACGUAGACAACGCAACGUGGUAUCCGGGAGUGCUGAAUAAUUACUCGAGUGGUAGGUGCACGAAGAAUCCUAAGCCAGUCUUCACUUCCACCCUCUAUAAAAAAACAAAACUGCAGCUGCUUUUCUCCAUUUGCAUCUGAAUCCUAGAAGAGAAAUUUAAGCUAAAUUUCAUAUUCAUCUAACAAACAACAAACAAAUGGAUGUGGAUAUGGAUGCUCCAGCCACUGAAGAGAUGUCAUACACUGAUCAUAUCAAGAGAAGGCAAGAGGAGAAAGGUUGCCUCUAUGCUUGUUUGUUCGCGAUGUGCUGUUGUUGCUGUUGCUACGAGACUUGCGAGUGUUGUUUGGACAUUCUCUGUUGUAACUGCUCCUAAUUUAUUCAUGCACAAGGGAUUAUUAGGCCAAUGUUUAUGGUUUAUCAUCACCUUAUUUCAUCGUUUUAUUUUUUCCUUUGUUCUAUUUGUUCGUAGCUCAUACUUCCAAUGAUUGAGGACUACAUGAGUUCUGUUAUUAUUGUUGUUGUCUGUUUGUUCGUAGCCUUCACUGGCCUAGUGAGAGUGUUGAGUGCCUCUGUAAACUUGCAAUUCUGUCAAAUUAUGAUUUUUUUGUUUUCUCUGUUUACUUCCAAAUAAAAAGACCGGGCACAAGCAUUUGGUUUAUUAA